UACGUAGGGUGCAAGCGUUGUCCGGAAUUAUUGGGCGUAAAGAGCUUGUAGGCGGUUUGUCGCGUCUGCUGUGAAAUCUCAAGGCUCAACCUUGAGCUUGCAGUGGGUACGGGCAGACUAGAGUGUGGUAGGGGAGACUGGAAUUCCUGGUGUAGCGGUGAAAUGCGCAGAUAUCAGGAGGAACACCGAUGGCGAAGGCAGGUCUCUGGACAGUUCCUGACACUGAGGCACGAAGGCCAGGGGAGCAAACGGG
rnacentral:rRNA from 1 species